rnacentral:sRNA from 1 species
AUGGACCACGCGGGCACUGCGUUCUGGGCGUGUAGUCCGCACCCACCUGACGAUCGCUCACUACGUGUUGUUAGCC